rnacentral:lncRNA from 1 species
CAGCUAACGUUCCCUAAGAGUAUGUGAUGUACUUAGACCUGGAUAAAAAAGCAUUUUGUGCAGUCUGAAAGACUGAAUGAACAGAAAGGCUAAUUCAGAAAGUUACUGUUGCCCUCCACAGCAUCAUACACUGGUCAGAGGGGCAGCAGAAGAAAUACAGCUCAGGGUAUAGAGAGCAAGAAACUUGGAACUGAAAUUCUAUUGGAAGAAGUUGAAGAAACUCACAGGGCUACAGGGGGAACCUAUUGAAGAACCCCCUGCAAGUUUUCCCAGAAUCUUAUGAGAUGCCUGAAGAUGACCCAAAGCCACAGGGAGGACCCCAUCUGAAAGACAUAGCUCCCUCCUGUGUCUCUGUGCCCUUGGUACCCGAGAACAGAACACAGAUUCCCUAUGUGGUUCUCCAGCUAAGCACAUCAACUAGAUGAUAACAAAGACAACACAAGGUGAAACCAAACCAAACCAAUGUUUACCAAGUAAACAAAACUGGAAAAAAUGUAAUGAAUUUUAGGAGAUGCUAUAUGUAGUGAUUGUAAUUGAAAUGGAAACUAUAAAAUGUAAGUUGUAUUGUCCUGUAACUCGGAUGGGACACUGUCUCUGAAGGCAUUAAUCAACUCUUCAAAGUCUA